rnacentral:lncRNA from 1 species
UGUGUGCAAGCAUGCUCUUUUAUUGAGACAAGACAAAAACUACUACUCCCACAGAAUCCCAAUCAAGAAUCGUAAAAGUUUAAAACUAACACCCCGUCACUCAAGUCCAACUAAAAGCCAAGGUCCCAAAGAAUGUCCACACCCUUCUAUUUUAUUCACUAUAUUUUUUUUUUCUUUUUAUUGGUGAUUAAUUGCUCGGUCUAAGGUCAGAGCGCUUCGCAGUGUAAAUGCGUUACGAACACCACAAGACUUCACACACCAAUUAUUCACUCUAUUCUAGUGGUUUAUUUAACCGUGCAAUGGUUGAGAUCCCUAAAGAUUUAUGCACUAGUACCCAUGUAGCGAGCGUUGGGUCAACAAUCCCAAACCACGAAGGGCUUUAGGUUGUUAGGCACAAAGUCCCCUCAGACUUAAUUACUCGAGUACUAAUGAGCUCAACCU